ensembl:lncRNA
UACCACAUUCAUGUGUAUAUCAUAAGGAUGAAAUAAAGAGAAAUAUUUGCAUUGGUGAUGUGCUUACAAUAUUAUCUGAAAAAAAACACACAAUGCUGAACCAAAAGACAGAAAGAGUAUCAGCAAGAGGACUUCAUGGUGCAGUGGCCUGCACCUGUCAUUCACAUACAUCAUCAUGGCUUUUAAGAAAGUAGAAAGCAUGCUGUGUUGGUCUCCCAUCAAAAGAAAUCUCAAAGAGAAUUUACCAUGAUCACCUAUGUUUGAUGAAGGUUGCCAUCUAAUGCUAAGUUUCCCUUGCAAAGUCAAGGCAAAGACUAUGUGGAUUGGAUGGAUAGAUGGAUGGAGAAAUAGACUAAUAGGGAUAAGGAGCUUGUGAAGAUGGCUUCUCCAUCAGAAACAUGAAUGGGUCCAUGUCUUUCCUUCCUGCCUUAGCUCUUCCUGGUUGCCCUGGUUGAUCUUGGGUAAUGACAUCAUCUGACAUCAUAAUGUUCUAUGGCGGUUAUGCUCCCUGCCCCUGCCCCCAGGUUACCAUAGGAACAGCCAUAAACAAUUCUGCAUCAUCACCAUUCCACUGCCUACUCCGUACCGGACGCUUCAUCGGUUAGGAGUGUUGGAAGUGGUCUCCUGUGAUUAGGAAAAUAUACUUCCCCAAUCAGCUUCUUCACCAUGGCAGGAGCAAUCUCCUCCUCUCUUGCCAAAGUACUCACCAACCCUCCGGGAGAGCCUGUUGAGACCUACAGCCAGAGCAGCAUCUGCUCCCAGUCCUCUUCUGCCUGCCCCUCCUUUUCCUCUGCCAGGGCAUCUGCGGAGAAUAUCAAAACACUCCAUGAAGGAUCCCCCGGAGGGGAUGGUCAAAUAAAUCCAAUGUUGGAGUCCCAGCUGCUGCCUCCUGCCCAAGAGAGAAGUCUCCUUAGGACCUCAAGAGACGAUAUCCAGCUGCCAGAUAAUCUCCUCACUGAGUUCCCAAAUUCUGAGGACCUCAUCUCUUCCAUGGAGCCCCUCCUUCCAGACAGCAUCAUUCCCUCUCCGGAUCAAACAGAGCCCAGAGACUCCGAGCAGGCCCAGAAACUGUUGGCAACCCCUCCUAGGCCCUGUGAUGACAUCAGAGGCCAGUCUCAGGAGCCCCAGGCCAAGAAAGACGUGCCCAUCCCAAGACCCUCCCAAAUGAAACCAUCUGAGGCACCAGACAAGCCUAAACUCAAGACCAAGGCAAAGAGGAGAAAAAGCCCAUCAAGUGAAAGGCAACCAAGCAGGAAUGGGAGGAAGACAAAGAAAGGCUCAGAUCCCACCACAGCUCCAAGUGCUUCUGGCGAGGGAACGGCUCUGGGGGCACAUGAGAAGCCUUGCAGUUCCCUUGUCAGUGGUAAAAAAGGUGGCAGAGGUGCCACCUUUUUUGAUGACAUCACAAGCCAGGAGCCCCAAGGCAAGAAAGACGUGCCCAUCCCAAGAACCUCGCAAGGGAAACCGUCUGAGGCAACCGACAAGCCUAAACUCAGUACCAAGGCAAAGAGGGGAAAAAGCCCAGCAAAUGAAGGAGAACCAAGCGGGAAGGUCAGGAAGACAAAGAAAAUCUCAGCUCCAACCACAGCUCCAAAUGCUUCUGGGGAGGGAACGGCUUUGGGGGCACAUAAGAAGCCUUGCAGUUCCCUCACCAGUGGCAAAAAAGGUGGCAGAGGUGCACCAAGAAAGGCAGCAAAGGGCCCUGCAAACCGAGAUGUCAGUCUCACAAUGCCGAGUGCAGGGUCUGGAAAAGAUCUUUCCCUAAGCAAGGCAUCGAAAGCCGGGAAAAAGAAGACAACAACCCCAGGGACAGCAGAGUUGGGACCUAAGCAAGUGGCGACCCAGGAGCCCCCGAAGCCAGUUCCUAGGAGCCAUCUGGCCAUGCAGACGACUGAGUCCCUGAGCGUCCUCAACUCUCAGCUCCCUCUGGCUCCUUCUGCUCAAGAAAAGCUAUUCCCAUUGACAAGAGCAUGGGAAAGACCCCCGCGAAGGAUCCCCAAAAUUUCAGCGUCCCGCUCAGGCCGUCAGCCACCAUCACAGCCACUUGUAGCCUACAGAGCCUGCAAUAUUAUCCCACCCCUGCAAACUGAAGGCCUCCCUAUCCCAGCUAUGCGAGGCCCAUGGGUGGAGAUGGCUGGCCAGCACCUCCAUGAAGACAAGCGCUCCUUUUACUCAUCCCCCCAUGUUUGGGUACUGCAGGGUGGGUACCAACACCCAGACACCCUUGGUGCGAUGGCUUUGGGGGCACAUGAGAAGCCUUGCAGUUCCCUUGUCAGUGGCAAAAAACGUGGCAGAGGUGACACCUUUAUGACAUCGGAGACCAGUCUCAGGAGCCCCAAGGCAAGAAAGACAUGCCCAUCCCAAGAACCUCGCAAGGGAAACUGUGCAAGGCACCCGACAAGCCAAAACUCAAGAGCAAGGCGAAGAGGGAAAAAACCCAGCAAGUGAAGGAGACCCAAGCAUUUCAAAAGCCGCGAAAAAGAAGACAACAUUGAUCAGACUUCACCUGGAAUACUGUGUCUACUUCUGAGCACCACAGUUUAAGAAGGACAAUAACAAGCUGGAAUAAAUCCAGAAGAGGGCAAAUUGGUAAAAGGACU